rnacentral:rRNA from 1 species
ACAAGCUACUAAGGGUUUAUGCACGGAUGACUUGGUUAGGUGAGGCGACGAAGGACGCGGUAAGCAGCGAUAUGCUUCGGGGAGCCGCAAACAGGCUUUGAUCCGGAGACUUCCGAAUGGGGCAACCCUCUUGGAGUAAAAUCCAAGAACUCUGCGCUGAAUACAUAGGCGUAGAAGAGCGAACCGGCCCAAUUGAAACAUCUAAGUAAGCCGAGGAAAAGAAAUCGAAUGAGAAUCCCCCAGUAGUGGCGAACGAAAAGGGACCAGCCUAAACUUUCGACACGCGAGUGCCGGGAGGGUUGUGGGACCUCGAUAUGGUAGUCAAAGGGAUAGCGGAAGUGUCUGGAAAGACACGCCCAAGAGAGUGAAAGUCUCGUACGCGAAAUUCUAAUGACGCCUAGGGGUAUCCCAAGUACCACGGGACACGGGAAAUCCUGUGGGAAUCUGGGCCGACCACGGUCUAAGGCUAAAUACUACACCUAAACCGAUAGUGAACAAGUACCGUGAGGGAAAGUUGAAAAGAACCCCGGGAGGGGAGUGAAAUAGAACCUAAAAUCAUAAACCUACAAAGCGGUAGGAGGCCUAUACGCAUCGCAAGGUGCGGAUGGCUGACUGCGUACCUUUUGCAUAAUGGUCCGACGAGUUAUUAGUUUCAAGCGAGUUUAAGUGAGUUGUGAAAGCAUCUCACGAAGGCGUAGGGAAACCGAGUCCUAACCGGGCGACCAUAGCUUGAGCUAAUAGACCCGAAGCUGAGUGAUCUAUCCAUGGCCAGAGGGAAGCCUCGCGAAAGCGAGGUGGACGUUCGAACCCUUCGGCGUUGAAAAACCGUGGGAUGAGCUGUGGAUUGGAGCGAAAGACUAAACAAACUCAGAAAUUGCUGGUUCUCCCCGAAACAAUUCUAGGGUUCGCCUUAGAACACUACGUCAUAGGGGUAGAGUGCUGAAUGGACUACGGGAGUCUACCGACUUGCCGGGUCCAACCAAACUCCGAAUACUAUGACGACUAUUCUAGGAGUAAGACGACGGGGGCCAAGCUCCGUCGUCAAAAGGGAAUCAGCCCAGAUCGCCGGCUAAGGUCCCUAAGAUUAGGCUAAGUUAUAAAGGAUGUGGAUCCGCUCAGACAGCCAGGAUGUUGGCUCAGAGGCAGCCAUCAUUUAAAGAGUGCGUAACAGCUCACUGGCCGAGCGAGUCUGCGCCUAAGAUGAACGGGAAUUAAGCCUAACACCGAAGCUGUGGGUGUACGGUGACUUCGGUCAUCGUAUGCGGUAGGGGAGCAUUAUCCAGUCGGUUGAAGCGGUACCGUGAGGAGCCGUGGACACUGGAUAAGGGAUUAUGUCGGAAUAAGUAGCGAAAAUGUCUGCGAGAAACAGACACGCCGAAAGUCGAAGGUUUCCUGGGGAAGGUUAAUCCACCUAGGGUUAGUCGUGCCUAAGCCGAGGCCAAAUGGCGUAGGCGAUGGAUGAACUGUUAAUAUUCAGUUACUACCUUGUUGGCGUCAUCACUUUUCAUGUGACGCAGGAGGGAUGGAGCUGCGCAGUGUUGGAUGUCUGCGUUCUUGUGCGGGGAACCGCAUGAGGGGAGCUUGAGGUUUCCGAGAGCGAAGUGCACUACUUCCAUACUGCCAAGAAAAGCAUGGGAAGGAGUUAACAGGGUACACGUACCGGAAUCCGACACAGGUAGACCACCAGAAUAUGGUAAGGCGAUCGAGAUAACCCUCUUUAAGGAACUCUGCCAAAUAGCCGCGUAAGUUCGCAAUAAGCGGUGCCCCGCCUCGUAAGGGGAUGGGGUCACAGUAAAGUGGAUCGGGUGACUGUUUAGCAAAAACACAUCUCUCUGCAAACUCGAAAGAGGACGUAUAGGGAGUGACACCUGCCCAGUGCUGGAAGGUUAAGGGAAUCUGUUAGUGAGAGCAAUCUUGCAAAGCGGUGAACCGAAGCCCCAGUAAACGGCGGCCGUAACUAUUGAUUGACCGCAGUAGUUGUAAAAUUUGGCUAUAUGCUGGGAAAUCCUGUCAGGCCGGCAGUACGUCUGUCUUUAAGACGGAACGUGACAAUCUGCCGGAUAGGGACAAUCAGCAGGAAAGACCUGAAGGAGGUCUCCGUGAAGAUAGAAACAGGCUAUUACUUAGCUGGUUUUGCGGAUGGGGAAGGGAGUUUCAACAUAUCCUUUCGUCCGAGGCAAGACUAUAAAUCACCAUGGAAAGUUUCUUUGUGUUUCAAUAUCUCUCAGAAAGAUAAAGUUAUUCUUGCAUUGUAUAAGCGCUAUCUAGGCUGUGGAACAUUGCGAGGCAGGCCUGAUGGAGUCUGGUACUUUGAAGUGAAUAAUUUCGAAUCGAUCAGAGAGAAAGUAAUACCUUUUUUUAGAAGGUAUCCAUUUUUAUCAGCUAAGAAAAAAAGAGAUUUCGCAAAAUUCUGCGAACUCGCGCGGUUGAUUAAAAAUGAGAAUCACCUGACAAAAGAGGGGAUUAAGAAAAUACUUGAAAUACGAAGAGAUAUGAAUGAUGGUGGCAAACGCAAGUAUAGCGAGAUGGAGAUCUUAAGCAAGCUUCAGGAAUCCUCAGAGACUAUACGCCAAACUCCUGGUCAAUCAGGAGAUGAUAUAGUCCGGUCUUCCGGGAAACCGGAAGUUAACAUGAACGAACGGUCCUAAGGUUAACGUAAUAACGCUAGCCUGCUUGGUAGUAAUACCAAAGAAUAAUUACCAACUAUAUCGGUGAAGUCCUCGGUUGUAUAGAGGAUAAUACCGAGGGAAGUCGUAAAUGACCCCGUAGAGACUACACGUUGGCUCCUGCGUAAAGCAGGAUGAAGAUAUAGUCCACGCCAAUAGUAAUAUUGGAUUAACGUGAGCGAAAUUCCUUGUGGGGUAAGUUCCCACGCGCACGAAUGGUGUAACAAC